GAUGAACACUGGCGGCGUGCUUAACACAUGCAAGUCGAACGAUGAAGCCCAGCUUGCUGGGUGGAUUAGUGGCGAACGGGUGAGUAACACGUGAGUAACCUGCCCUUGACUCUGGGAUAAGCCUGGGAAACUGGGUCUAAUACUGGAUAUGACUUCUCAUCGCAUGGUGGGGGGUGGAAAGAUUUAUUGGUCUUGGAUGGACUCGCGGCCUAUCAGCUUGUUGGUGAGGUAAUGGCUCACCAAGGCGACGACGGGUAGCCGGCCUGAGAGGGUGACCGGCCACACUGGGACUGAGACACGGCCCAGACUCCUACGGGAGGCAGCAGUGGGGAAUAUUGCACAAUGGGCGCAAGCCUGAUGCAGCGACGCCGCGUGAGGGAUGACGGCCUUCGGGUUGUAAACCUCUUUCAGUAGGGAAGAAGCGAGAGUGACGGUACCUGCAGAAGAAGCGCCGGCUAACUACGUG
rnacentral:rRNA from 1 species